UCUCCUCCUAGGCUCCGAAGCUCCGCCUCCAUCCAGGCUGAUCCCCCACCAGUGAAGGGACUCCCAGGGUGCGGGAACCUUUUCUCCUUCACAGCUCCCUCCCUGUGGUGCAGGCCCGUCCCCAUUCCUUUCUAUUUCCUUUUGUCCUACCCAGUUACUUGGAGGUUUUCUUGUCCUUUCAGAAGUUUGAGGUCUGCUGCUGGCAUUCAGUAGAUAUUCUAUGUGAAUCAUUCCACUUGCAGAUGUGUUUUGAAUGUUUUUGUGGGAGUAGGUGAGCUCCCUGUCCUACUCCUCCACCAUCUUGAUCCCCCAGCCUGUAACUGUGUUUUGAGACAGGACUUUUAAAGAGGUAAUCAAGUUCGUAAAGGUGGGGCCCUAAUCCAAAAGGACUGGUGUCCUUACAAGAGGAAGAGGAGACAUCAGGGAUGGGCAUGUACACAGAAAAGGCCAUGUGAGGGUAUGGAGAGAAGGCAGUCAUCUGCAAUCCAAAGAGAGAGGCUGCAAGAGAAACCAAACCUUCCAGACACCUUCAUUUUGGACUGUCAGCCUACAGAACUGUAAGAAAAUAAAUUUCUGUUGUUUAAGCCACUCAAUCUGUGGUAUUCAAUAUUUUGUCACAACAGCCCUAGCAGACACAGAGAAUAAGCUUAUGAAAAGAUGGUAAAUACCAUUAGAUCUCAGGAAAAUGGAAAUUAAAACAACAAUGAUAAACUACUACACACUUAAUAGAAUGACAACGUUAAAAAGACUGAGAAUCUGGCAAGGAUGUGGUGCACUUGGAACUUUCAGACAAUAGUGGUAGGAAUGUAGAAGUGGCACAAGCACUUUAUAAGAAAUUGCUGAACUAUCUUUUAAAGUUAAACACACACUUACCAUACAACCCAGCAAUUCAGUUCCUAGGCAUUUACCCAAGAGCAAUGAAAACAAGUAUCCACAAAAAGACUUGUACGUAAGUGGUCACAGAAUUUUAUUCAUAAUAUCCCAAAACUGGAAACAACCCAAUUAUCCAUCAACUAGUGAAUGGUUAGACAACUUGUGGUAUUCCACAGAAUAGAAUAUCACUCAGCAAUAAAAAGGAACAAUCUUAAUACCUGAAAUAUCGGCAAUUUUUAAAAACAGAAGAAGCCUGACACAAAGGAAUAUAUAUUGAAUGAUUCUACCUAUAGGAAAUACUAGAAAAGGCAAAUCUAAUCUACAGGAACAGAAAGCAGACUUAUCCUUCCUUGGAGCUGGGGUUAGUUGGUGGGAAGCAGGGGCUGAAUGCAAGGGAGCACAAGGGAACUAUCUGGAGUGAAGGAAAUGUUCUCUACCUUGACUGUAAUGCCGGUUUCACAGGUACAUAAGCUUGUCAAACCUCAUGAAACUUAAAAUGGGUGUGUUUUACUGUAUGUAAAUUAUUGCUCAAUGAAGUUGAUUUUAAAACAUCAGACAGACAGGCCCUCUGCAGCAUUUAAACUACAGAAGAGAGGAUAGAAUGCCUUUAGUUAGCAAAAGGAGACCAGAGCAGACAUUCAGAGAGAAGUACAGAGAGAGAGCAGCCAGCCACUAAGUGGCUUCAGAUUUUCUGGCACUGCAGUGCUGUACCACACAGAGAAUAACAAUAAAUCUUUUUUUUUUUUUAGAUGGUGCCCUGAGAGAACCUUUGUUUCUUCAAACUAAAGGAAACUAACAAACCAACUGACUACUCAAAGUUUCUGCAUUUCUAUUUUGGUUCCUUCAAUACUAUCUGGCACAUAAUAAACGUGUUGAAUGCAUGAAUGAUGCACUGAUGACAGUGUUAUCAAUCAUACACUUUGCUGAUUGGAAUUAAUUUUUUACAUUAAAAAAGCAGUUCCAUGGUUUAAAAAAACUGUUUAAAAAUAAAUUUAUUUUUAAUUCUCAAACAAUGAAGGCAAAUGCCCUUUUGCAAGAUAUGUGGUAAUACACUGUAAAAAAACAAAUCUAAAAAAUGAAUUAGCAUGGCAACACAAAUGUCAGAGUACCAGAUGAGAUAAGCCAUUUAUUUGAAAAGGAUUUAACGAUUUAUAGCACAAUAUAAGAAAUUAGCUUUGCUAAUGGAUACAUAAAUUCUUUUUGUCUGAUUUUUUGGUAGAACACAGUGAAAAUAACUUAGAGAAAAUAAUGCCACAGAUAUAUCUAAAAUGUGAAUGAAGCUGGAAGCAGCAGAGGACCACACACCAUGAAAUGUAAACAGAGGAGAAAAAAGCUAGAUGCCAGACAGGAAGAGAAGAACCAGAAAAGCAGUCUUUACAAAUAGAGCAACACUAAUACUCCAAGAAGAUGGGCCAUGCUUAUCCUGAGUGUGCUCCCCAAAGAUGCCAGUCAGAAGCUGACAGUAUGGAAUGAAGGGCAGCACAGCUGGAAGGAGAUGUGGCUCGGAGAGCAGAGAGUAGAAGGUCCAGAGGUCCCUACCAACCUAACAGAUGAAAAUCCAAGGCUCUGGGAGGUCAGGUCUGGAGAUACAAACUUCAUGACUACCUGCAGUCAGAUACGAGUGGAAGCCACAUGAGGGAGAAGGGAGAGAAGCAGAGAGCAAAGGGCAAAAGAUUUGAUAAAUGUCCCUGAGGGGAGAAAAAAAAAAUCGGGUUAGAGAAGAAAGAAUC